rnacentral:rRNA from 1 species
AACGAACGCUGGCGGCAGGCUUAACACAUGCAAGUCGAACGGGCGUAGCAAUACGUCAGUGGCAGACGGGUGAGUAACACGUGGGAACCUUCCUAGGGGUACGGAACAACUCAGGGAAACUUGAGCUAAUACCGUAUACGUCCGUGAGGAGAAAGAUUUAUCGCCCUUAGACGGGCCCGCGUCGGAUUAGGUAGUUGGUGGGGUAACGGCCUACCAAGCCUUCGAUCCGUAGCUGAUCUGAGAGGAUGAUCAGCCACACUGGGACUGAGACACGGCCCAGACACCAACGGGAGGCAGGAGUGGGGAAUCUUGGACAAUGGGCGCAAGCCUGAUCCAGCCAUGCCGCGUGAGUGAAGAAGGCCUUAGGGUUGUAAAGCUCUUUUACCAGGGACGAUAAUGACGGUACCUGGAGAAUAAGCCCCGGCAAACUUCGUGCCAGCCGCCGCGGUAAAAC